rnacentral:rRNA from 1 species
CACACGACUYUCGGCAACGGAUAUCUCGGCUCUCGCAUCGAUGAAGAACGUAGCGAAAUGCGAUACCUGGUGUGAAUUGCAGAAUCCCGUGAACCAUCGAGUCUUUGAACGCAAGUUGCGCCCGAGGCCAUCCGGCCAAGGGCACGCCUGCCUGGGYGUCACGC